AAAUUGAAGAGUUUGAUCAUGGCUCAGAUUGAACGCUGGCGGCAGGCCUAACACAUGCAAGUCGAACGGUAACAGGAAGCAGCUUGCUGCUUCGCUGACGAGUGGCGGACGGGUGAGUAAUGUCUGGGAAACUGCCUGAUGGAGGGGGAUAACUACUGGAAACGGUGGCUAAUACCGCAUAACGUCGCAAGACCAAAGAGGGGGACCUUCGGGCCUCUUGCCAUCAGAUGUGCCCAGAUGGGAUUAGCUUGUUGGUGAGGUAACGGCUCACCAAGGCGACGAUCCCUAGCUGGUCUGAGAGGAUGACCAGCCACACUGGAACUGAGACACGGUCCAGACUCCUACGGGAGGCAGCAGUGGGGAAUAUUGCACAAUGGGCGCAAGC
rnacentral:rRNA from 2 species